UCCUACGGGUGGCUGCAGUCGAGGAUCUUCGGCAAUGGGCGAAAGCCUGACCGAGCGACGCCGCGUGCGGGAUGAAGGCCCUCGGGUUGUAAACCGCUGUCGGAGGGGAGGAAAUGCUGGGGGGAUCACCUCCCAGCUUGACCUAUCCUCAGAGGAAGGACGGGCUAAGUUCGUGCCAGCAGCCGCGGUAAGACGAACCGUCCAAACGUUAUUCGGAAUCACUGGGCUUAAAGGGUGCGUAGGCGGCCCGGCAAGUUGGGGGUGAAAUCCCUCGGCUCAACCGAGGAAUUGCGCUCAAAACUGCUGGGCUCGAGGGAGAUAGAGGUGAGCGGAACUUAGGGUGGAGCGGUGAAAUGCGUUGAUAUCCUAAGGAACACCGGGGGCGAAAGCGGCUCACGGGGUCUCUUCUGACGCUGAGGCACGAAAGCUAGGGGAGCGAACGGGAUUAGAUCCCUUUGUAGU
rnacentral:rRNA from 1 species